AUCUCUGGUAGCACGUGUCCUCACCAUCUGUGAGAGAAUAGAAGACAAAAGUUUAGAAUUGUGAUGUCAAAAUCUCACACAACAAGGAAAUCAAAUGAAGUGGAAUUUUCCUAAUAGUUACAUAGUCUCUCGCAGAUAAGUACAGAUGUCUCCGUACCGAUCCAUGAGACUCUAAUAAACCGACUUGUGAUUUAUGACUCCUAUGAACCUAAAGCUCUGAUACCAACUUGUCAUGACCCAAGUUCGCCCUCCGUGAACUAUCGUGACGGCACCUAGUCUAUACGACUAGGUAAGCCUAACAAAUGCGGAAAAGAAACAAUUUGCGGAAAGAAAAUAAUAUAAAAUCGAAAUAACAAAAUGAAAUAGUGUUUAAAAUGCUGCCUGGCAUAUAACAAUACAAUAAUCUCAACCUAACACUCCCAAAAUACGGAACCCCAUGAAUCACAAGCUAAAAGAUACAUGAAAAGCUCUAACUCCAGAAAUGUCUAUCAAAAGGAAAAUACAUAAGGGCUAUACUAGUACAAGAAAUAGAAAGGGACUCCUCGGUCUGCGAACGCGGCAAGUAUACCUCGAAGUCUCUACAAAGCGCCUCGCCUCAAGGAUGAUAAGACUGAGUGGAAGUACCUAGAUCUGCAAAUGAAAAACAUGCGCAGAAAAGGGCAUGAGUACACCACAAAGGUACUCAGUACGUGCCAAGCCUAACCUCGGUCGGGUAUUGACGAGUAAGGUCAGGGCCCUACUGAGGUUAAAUGAAAUACAAGGUAUAACAGUACAGAAUAAGAUGGCAUAAUUAAGUGCAAUGGUAAGAAGUAACACAGGAGAGAAAGAACAACAACAAAUAUAACAGAGACGAAAUAAUCACGGAAAGGAAUACAACUCAACAUAGAGAUAACAACCACAACAACAAAUAUAACAAAGACGAAAUAAUCACGGAAAGGAAUACAACUCAACACAGAGAUAACAACCGGGGAUCUCCCAGGAUACCGUCCUGUAGUCCCAAAUAUAAAUAUCCAACGGAUCUCCCGGGAUAUCGUUCCGUAGUCCAACUCAUAAUGUGCGAGAAUCUCCCGGAAUACCGAUCCGUAGUCCUAAAUAUAAAUACUCAGUACUGGGAGAAUCUAUCGGGUGCAGUCCCGUAGUUCUAAUAUAAAAGUGCAGGGGGAUCUCCCGGAAUACCGAUCCGUAGUCCCAAAGUAAACAUGCAGGGGGAUCUCCCGGGAUACCGUCCCGUAGUCCCAAAGUAAACACAUAGCAACAACACAAAGAAUACACAAUUUAAUUCAAUUCCAUACCAAGGUAAAGCAGGUAUCUCAAGCCUAGCAUGCUGCCCAUAAUCCAAAUAAGGCAGUUUGUACAAGUAAGGCAAUUAAGUCAAUUAUACAUGCUUCCCUAAGCUAACAACAAGCUUAAAUUACAAGUAGUAUAAACAGGAAAGGAAACACAAUUAUAGUUACUUAAGGAAAAUCGGAUUUUCAACAAUUAGCACAAGUACACACUCAUCACCUCACAUACAAGGCAUUUCAAAUAUCAAUAAUACCAAAAUCCUAAGGGGAGUUCCCCCCACAAGGUUAGGCAAGCCACUUACCUCGAACCGGUUCAAAAUUAACCCGAAACCACGUUCUUGCCACGAGUACUCGACUCCAAAUGGCCCAAAUUUAUUCAAUUCAAUUGUAUAAUGUAAAUAACACUUCAAGUAACUAAUUCUACAAAUAAGUUCUAAGCUAAUACAUGAAAUUAGGUAAAAUGACCAAAAUGCCCCUCGGGCUCACGUCUCAGAAUCAGAUAAAAUUUAUAUUUUCAGAAUCAUCAUACUCUCACGAGUCUAACCAUACCAAAAUUAUCCAAAUCCAAUGUCAAAUCCCCAAUUAAAACUCAAAAUUUAGGUCUAAGGACUUUUUCCAAUUUUCCCUCAAUUUUCAUUCCAUAUUCUAAAAUUAAUUGACAAAGCUAAGAUUAGAUUAAAGGAAUACAACUAGAAAGGAAUUAGGAAUCGUUACCCACUGAUUUCCUCUUCAAAAUCCUCCCAAAAUCGCCCUCUCCCGAGCUCUAAAUCAAUUGUCUAACUUUUGAUUUCAAACCCUCGAAAUUCUUAUUUAUGCCCAACAAACCCGCUUUUGCAGGCAUGGGACCGCACCUACGGUCCCGCCUUUGCGGAACUAAAGUCACAUAUGCGACAAUUCACUAAAACCCAGCUUCCGCACCUACAAUUACCCUUACGUAGAUGCGGUGCCGCUUCUGCGUUGAAGCGCUCGCUUCUGCGGCUCCGCAUAUGCGGAACCCAACCGCAGGUGCGAUUAUGACAGAAGAUCAGCAAUUUCAGCUGCUUCAAGCCACUCCUAAUUAUUCCGACAACCCCCCGAAAUCAUCCUGAGGCCCUCGAGACCUCAACCAAAAAUACGAACAAGUCCAAUACCACUGUUCAAACUUAUACAAAUCUUCAAAACACCUCAAACAACAUCGAAUCAACCAAUUAGCAUCAGAUUCAAUCCUAAGAAUUCCAAAAACUCUCAAAUUACACUUUCGAUCAAAAAGUCUAUCAACCCUCGUCCAAAUGACCUGAAAUUUUUCACACACAUCAUGUUCAACACUACGGAGCUACUCUAACUUCCUAAAUUCCAUUUCGACCCCGAUAUCAAAAUCUCACUAUCGAACCGGAAACUUCAGAAAUUCAACCUUUAGUAUUUCAAUCCUAAAUAAGCUACGAACCUCCAAAACACAAUCCAAACAUGCCCCUAAGCCCAAAAUCACUCAGCGGAGCUCAUGGAACUAACAGAAUUCCAUGCCGAGGCCAUCUUCACACUGCUCCGACUACGGUCCAAUUUCUAAAACUUAAACUCUCAUUUAGGGACUAAGUGUCCCAAAACACUCCGAAGCUCAAAACCAAACAUCCCGGCAAAUCAAAAUAGCAUAAACAAACACGGGGAAAGUAGUUAAUAUGAGAUUGGGAUGUUAAUUCUUAAAACGACCGGCCAGGUCGUUACACAACUGCCCCUCUUUGCUUGGAAAUAUGAAAAGUUUUCAGAAAAAGACAAAGUGAGCCAUGCAAUUAAUUUUUGACCAAAUGUUUAUUCAAAAGGGAAAAUAAACAAAGGAAAGGGUGCAACCGAGUCCUGGUUUUGGACAACCUACAUAUCUCGAGUCAUAAGGGAAUCAGGUCGUGUGUAGUUCAAGGAGAAUGAUGGAGUGAUGAGUUUGAGGGUUGAGCGAGGUUUCGUCGAUGCUCCGGUCUGUGGUCCUGUUAUUACAUCAAAUUUAAAAUUAAAAGACUAACUAAGUCUAUCAGCUACGAGUUACAAGAUUCCUAUUUAUGAGUCUUCUAAAGCUUGAUCUUAAGUCUUGAUUUAUUCUUCAUGCAGACCCUGAUCUGAAUCUUGAUUCUUGUUAGCUACAGGUGUUGGUUCAUUCCUUUUUCAACUUCUCGGAUCAAGGCGGGACAUGCAAAGCUUGUGACUUCAAUCACAUCUUGAGCAGUUCACAUAUUUUCUCCGCUUCUGCACUUUGAGUUCACUUUUUUUUUUUAAUUCUGGAUUGAGACUCCUUCUUUUGAUCAUCUCGAACCCUGUGCCUCGAGGUAAAACCUUCUCAGACACCAAAACAAACAAACGAACAAAAUUUUUCUGCCCCAGUUUUCACUAGGAAAAUUUCGUGAGUUAUUGUAACAAAAUUCCAAACUACUUCUUUAUUGAAAUCAAUAAAAGUCAAGAUUGUGUAUCCUUUGGAAAAAGAGUUUAGGGAGUGGAGACCCUAUAUCUAAAAUAAGAUCAACUAGGGAUUAGAGACCCUAUUGUUGGAAAAUCAUUAACUAGGGGAUGUUGACCCUAUGUUGGCAUCAGGUUAUACUGGCAUCAAUUAGGGAGUGGAGACCCUAUGUUGGCAUCAACUAAGGAGUAGUGACCCUAUGUUGGCAUCAGGUUAUGCUGGCAUCAAUUAGGGAGUGGUGACCCUAUGUUGGAAAAGGAGACUAGGGAAUUGCGUACUUUAUGCUAAAACGAACCAAGAAGAAAUAUUUUUCAAAGGCAUGAACAUGACUCUUCUUUCUUUUCAAAAAAAGUCUAGACUUUUUUUUGGUUAUCUUAGGAAAAAGAUUCAUCACACUAAGAUGUUUAUCCUAGGAGAGAGAUUCAUCAGACUAGGUUUUCUAAUUUAUUAUCUUAGGAGACAAAUGCAUCAGACUAUAAUUUUUAUCCUAGGAGAAAAUUUAUCAGGCUAGGUUUUCUCAUCUUAGGAGAAAAAUUCAUCAGAAUAAGACUUCGAUCCUAGGAAUAAGUUCAUCAGACAAAGUCUUUUUUUUUGGUUAUCUUAGGAGAAAGAUUGAUUAGACUAAGACUUCGAUCAUAGGAGCUUUUUUUUUGUUAUCUUAGGAGAAAGAUUCAUUAGACUAAGACUUUGUAUCCUAGGAGAAAAUUCAUCAGACUAGGUCUUCUAUAUUAGGAGAAAGAUUCAUCAAACUAAGAUUUCGAUCCUAGGAGAAAGAUUCAUCAGACUAGGUAUUUUUUUAUUUUAGGAGAAAGAUUUAUUAGACUAUGACUUUGUAUCCUAGGAGAAAAUUCAUCAGACUAGGUCUUCUAUCUUAGGAGAAAGAUUCAGCAGACUAAGAUUUCGAUCCUAGGAGAAAGAUUCAUCAGACUAGGUUUUUUUUGGUUAUCUUAGGAGAAAGAUUCAUCAGACUAAGACUUUGUAUCCUAGGAGAAAAUUCAUUAGACUAGGUCUUCUAUCUUAGGAGAAAAAUUCAUCAGACUAAGAUUUUUAUCCUAGGAGAAAAAUUCAUCAGACUAGGGUUCCUUAUCUUAGGAGAAAUAUUCAUCAGACUAAGAUGUUUAUCCUAGGAGAAAGAUUCAUCAGACUAGGUCUUUUUUUUUGUUAUCUUAGGAGAAAGAUUCAUCAGACUAGGUCUUUUUUUUUGUUAUCUUAGGAGAAAGAUUCAUCAGACUAAGAUUUCGAUCCUAGGAGAAAAUUUAUUAGACUAGGUUUUCUUUAUCUUAGAAGAAAGAUUCAUCAGACUAAGAUUUUUAUUGGGAGGAAAUCCAUCAGACUAGGAUGUAUUACCCCAGGAGGAAAAAAUGUGAAGAGCAAUGACAAGAUUUUAUGCAUACUAUCAAGACAAAUAAAUGCAAAGAUUUGAGAAACUUCCCUUUGUCGGCUUUUCUCUUCUCUUCCUUUUCUCUUUUUCUUUUUUUUCCUAUUUUUUUCUUUAUUUUUCUCUUCUUUUUUUUUUGAACCACUUUCUCUUUACUGCUAUGUUCUUCUUUCAAAUAAAGAAAAUUUUGUCAGUUUUAAAAGAGUGAUCGGUUUGUGGCCUUGAGUCUUGAGCAGCUUGGCUUUUGCUCGAUCAGCUUGAGUCGGUCUCAAGAGACUUUUAUUCUACACCAACUUUGAUUAUUUCACACCUAGUACCAUGUGUAUUUGCGGCUCAAUCAGCCUUAUCCUAACUGGAGAUCUUUGCUUAAGUGACCUUUUCUGAUAUCUUGAAUGACUUUCUACUUUUGAGCAAUUUGUUUGUCUGAGAGAAUCACAAGUUAUCUUUGUUUGUGCUAAGUUGGCUGACAAGAGUCUUUUGGGGUAGCAUUUGCAUGAAUCCUCAAGACAUAUUGAAAGUAAUAACUGAGUGUGCCGGGAAAAUUUACUUUGUGCAACUGAAAAGCUGGUAGCAGAUUUUGAAAUCCUUUCUUGCUCGUUUUGACAAGGACGGACUCAAAGUGAAGGACACAAUGAUGCAAAAAAAAAAACAAUAUACAAAGGAAUGCCUCUGUCGGGAAGGACAAAAGGAAUUUUUUUACGGUAACUAGCCUUAAUGAUCAUGACAUGCAUUUUGGACUUAACGGCCUGAUCUAUCAAACUAAUCCAAUCUUCCCUUUUACCAUUCUUAUGACCUUUGAAGUCGGGCUUGUUCGUGCCUAUCCUUUGCAUGGCUUCAUGACUUACUUUCGACUAGUGGUGCCCCGAGGAGUUUUCACCAACAAGUCUGUCUCAUUUAUUCAUCUCUGCUUACUGCCUCCUUAUAGUGCCCGUGAGGAUUUUCACUAGUAAGACUAUAAUUUCUUUUAUUUUUAUUUUUCUUUUGUUUUCUUGUGCGAGCAUCUUGAUAGUGUUCUAUAUCGUGUGACAACCAUUGCUCAUUGCAUGCUUCUCUUGGUAGUCUUGAAGGCAUAUCUGGAGGUCUUUAUUUGGAAGGAUUUUGGAUAGGGUUGGAAAUAAAGGACGUCAUGAAGGCUCAAAAAUAGACUCAAAAUAAGAGGGUUGUAGACUUACAACUCUUGGAAUCGACUCUUUCAAAAGUAAAAUAAAAUCUUUGCCCCAGUUUCAGCUAUUGGGGAUUUUUGGAUUUAUUUUUCUUUUCUGUAUUCUUAUUUGGUUGGACUGAACCGUUAAGGUUGCCUACGUAUCCCUUUUUUUAAGGAAUCAGGUCGAACGUAGUUCAAACAUGUGACCUAGCUAAUUUAUUUCAUCUUUCUUUCUUCUUUUUUUCCUUUCUUUUGUUUUUCAUUUUCAAAACAAGUUGCCAUAGCCUUUAUUUUCUGAGGGCAUGGACCUGUGAUCGUUCUUUUUUUCUUCAUUUUUUUUACAUGAACUUUCUAAGAAUUGCCCCAAUUUGUACUCUCGGGAUAUGGAUUCUUUUUCUUUUUCUUUUUUAUUUUUUCCAUUUUCUUUGACUCUUGACUCUAAACUUGACUCCAAAAGAGGAUGGUCAAAGAAAAUAACGUAGGUUCAAAAGGGAUAACAAAGGGUAUAAAUUGUUUGGAUAGCAGAAAAAGGGCCUCCCAGCCUCGAGAACGCCAAUUAUAGUAUCCUUUUGCGAUCGCAUCAUUGAUGAACAUGCGUGUCUACUUAGGUCUUUUUCAGUGUAAAGCUGUAUGAACAAUUCUUUCCUCGUUGUGAAUGGCCUUUGUCAAUUUGAGUGACUUUUCUUUGAUUUUGUCUUGAUGUAGAAGAUGCAAUUUGCCACUAACUGAUCCAUUUCAAGUUGUCUGGAAUAUACCUUCUAUUGAAAAACACUUUCUAUCUCUUAGUGCUAAACACACUUCAACCCGUCCGAUUAUCCUUAAGCCCGAUCUUCUCAAAUGAUUCAAAAGGUAGAUAUCCUUAAUUUUCAUGAGCAUGACUGCUUUGGUUCCAUGUAAACUUAGCUCAUGCUUAUUUUCCAAAUGUUUCACGUGUCUAUUCUUCUUCAAAAGUGUCUCUUUCUCACUUGUCCAAUUCAAGACCAAAUCAGUUUUCUAAGAUCUGGCCAAAAAUUCCGCAUGCAUGUCAUGUCAUUAGAACUACAUGAAAAGAACUAUGCACAAAAUGGACAUACAAUGACUGACUGCCUUUUUUUAUUGAAUAAAGGAUAGAAGGGUCCAAUAGCACAAAAAGAAGAAGAAAAGACGACAACAUAAGCUACCAUGACUCCUCUCUGUCUAAAAGAAGAGUGACUUUCCAGUUGCUAAGUGACAUCUCACCACAGACUUGCACAUUAGCAUUACUACGGUGUUCGACAGUUUUUAUUGCUAUGGAUUCAACACUCAAAUUCUGACUUUUGAUCAAACUGUUCCCCAUAUUGGCUGUCGGAUUUCAGGAUUGACAUCAUGGGAAUUUUCACAGUACUUAAUUCGUCAAAGAACUUGGACGAAUUCUCAUGUCUCCCUAUCAUCAAAGAUCAUCCAAGCAGAGCAUGUUCUAUUGUGCUUAAAACUGGUAGAAGUUGCAUCUAUUUUAUCACCAACUUGCCUACUUGCCUUUUCGUGACUUUGGAUCAACAACAGUGGUGCUUGUUCCAUUGGUUGAGAAGAUGCAUUUAUUUCCGACGGUUCUUGGAUUGUUUUUGUGACUCGCCAUUGCAAAACAACAAACCGACUACCUUUGAUUAUCUUUUACUUCAAAACAACUAGCAUGUUAGAAUGAACACUCUUUUUUUUUCUUUUUUUUUGUUUCUUUCCUUUCUCUUUUUUUCUUCUUCUUUUUUUCCUUUUUUUUUUAAAAAUCAUUUGAUCGAACCUGAUGUGGGUUGCCUACGUAUCAUGUUGGAACAUGAAUCAGAUCUUGUGUAGUUCGGGAAGAUCAGGAAUAAAGUAAAUAAACUAACUCUUUUUUUUUUGGAUUUUGAUUUUUUUUUAAAUUUCCGAAAGAAAGACUUAUAAAGAAGUAAGAUUUUUUUUUUGAAUUUUGAUUUUUUUAAGGAUUUUUUUAAAAAAAGAAAGACUUCUAAAGAAGAAAGAAAAUAUAUACAUCUUUUUUUGAAUUUCGAAAGAAAAUCUUCUAAAGAAGAAAGGAAAUAUUUUUGGAUUUUUGGACUUCUAUUUUGAAUGUGUGAAAGAAAACUUCUAAAGAAGAAAGAUAAUAUUUUUGGAUCUUGACUGUUGUUUUCAAUUUUCAAAAGAAGAAUGAAAAUAUUUUUGGAUUUUGAGACGAAACUAAAAAAUAUUUUGGAUUUUUUUUAUUUGAAAUUGGGGUCUAAAAGAAAGACUUUCUAAAUAAGGAAGUAAAGAAAAAGUAUUUUUUUGAAAUUUUUGAAAAUUGUGGGCUGGAACUGAUGAGGUUUGCCUACGUAUCUUACAUCCGGUGAGAAUCAGACCCGUGUAGUUCCGCCGUUUUGACGGAACAGAGGAAACAUGGCCCCUGAAAAUUUUGGCUCAUUUUGAAAUAACUGUUUUUUUCUUUUUUUUUUCCAGAAUUUCGGAAGAGUUUCAGGAUUUUCAAAUACCUACCUCACUCUUGUUUUUUUUUUUGCUUUUUUUUUUAAAAAAUUUCUUUCCCUAUUCUAGAAGCCGGUCAACAUGCAAGCCGAAACAAACAAAUGUGCGAGUAACACGUAAGAUGCAUCAUGAUGGUCUUUUUAAUUUGGGUACACUUGUCCAAGACGGACCCAACCCCUGUAUUGAGUCCCCAAAGUCAAAUGCACGUGAUGCAAACAAGCGUACCUACUAGGGAUCUGGCAUGAGGCUAUGUUAUUCUAAGUUUAAAUUUUGGGGUGUAUUGUUCUAGACCUGGCUUAUCCGAGCGGGCAACUCGAGCCGCGGGGGGCAGCGUACCGAGAAUACAAAAGCUUCACCGGCUUUGCAACUUGUCCGGACCUCGUUCUAAAAUUAGGAUGUGACUUUAACAUAAAAGAAGCCACGCGAAGCGCACGCUCCCCAGAAGAUUUAGAAGACUCAGAGAGUAGAGAGUUUCGUAACAAUUUAUAUAUACAAUUCAAUCAAUAUCAAAGCCGUAAAAAAAGGCAUUUAGCACAUUAGGCUCGAACACGUAAAAAAUCAGACAAUCAUUAAAGCCAAUCAUAAUAGCUAUUCUAAGCUCGAAUUUUGAACCCCGAACCAGAAGUUCUGGGUUCUUAUCCCUAGCAGAGUCGCCAGAGCUAUCACACCUCCUUUUUCCCAAGGGGGAUAGGGAGUUUUUCCAAUUAAAGUGACAAUAACCGAAACAGGAUUAUUUAUAUUCAAAUUCAGAGUCGCCACUUGUGAUAAUUUAUGGUGUCCCAAGUCACCGGGUAAAAAAUUCUGUUAACCCGGAAAAAGGUGUGAGGCACUCUCGAGUUCUGUAGUAUUAGCACGGUCGCUCAACUAUUAAUAAUUGCCUAAUUAUCUGAUUGAUUACAUGUUUAGACCUAUUGUGCAUUUUUUAUUUUUUAACCACUUUUAAUUAUUUAUGGAAUUAUUUGAACGAGUCACGAUAUUGUGCACUCGUUAUUUUUUGUACAUAUUGUGAAUCACGUCACAUGAAAUGCACCCGCGAUUUAUAACAUGUUUAUUUUAACUUUUAUUCAAAUUUAUGGUCAGGUCACAUGAAAUGCACACCCGAAUGAGAUUUGUGUAUCAUGACUAUGCCACGGGAACCGUACCCAUAGUCACGAUAAUUUAUUUAUUAAUCGCGCCUAAAACAAGGUACAAUGUUCAUAUGAGAUUGUUUACUCAAACUAUUUUGAAAUCGUUGUAAGAUCGUGAAUUAGAGAUAUGGAGUUGUAAUUAGCUCUUUAAAUAUUAGCAAACUAGUAUGAAUUAGUUACAACUUGACAAGUUGAUUGAUCAAAACAAAAGGAACUAAUCUUCUCUAGAUAUGGAUAGUACCAAAAUCUGCCACAAAGUGACAAAAAUAAAAGCAAUAGGAUGAAGGCAACAUAAAUCAUGCCAAGCAAUUGGCGUGCCAAAUCUCAUGCAAACAUAGAACCAAGAAAACAAUAUUCAACCAUCUGAACAAAGUUUAUUAGUUUUACGCAAACCCAUGAGGCCUAUAUUUGAAAGGUUCCGCAAAUAGAGGUUAUAAAAAUUGUCAACUUAAUAAACAACUAAACAAAAUUUUAUAGGCAUAUAAGCUAACAAUAAGGCAAAAAACAAACCAUAAUCACAUUUAAAGAUGAAUAUUCACAUGACUAUAAGUAGAGAAACGAAGAAGAGUAUGUAGCAUUAUAAAAAAGUUGGUCAGACAAGUAAAAUAGACCUUGUAUUGAUUGAAUCCAAACUUUAGAAUUUUUGCUACUCAAUAAUCGAGCCAAGAGCAGCGACCACGACCGAGAGCCUCCAACGGUGCAACCCGAACAAACCCGUUAACGAAAGACCACACCGGAAAACUCGACCUCGACGGACCCUCAAACUCGAACAACAAUACCUCGUCACUGAUUGGUUUUUGGACUGGUUUCAGGUGUUGAAUCAGUCAUUUGAGAUUGGUUUCUCGAACGAGCUUUGCUGGUUUCGUACGGCAGAAACGGACCUCAGCUUUUGAAGCUCCCAUGGCUGAAAUUAUGGAGGAAAAUGGUGGAAGAUGCUUGGUUUUUUGGAGAUAGAACGGGCAGAUCUGCUCUGGUUUUGUUUCUCCCUCAGUUCGUUUCCUUCUCCUCCUUGUCACUCUACUCUGUUUUUUCAGUUCCUUUUCAGAUCUAUUCUUUCCCUUCCCCCUAUUUUCUCUACUGUCUUUUUUAUCUCGUUCCCCACCCACUAUUUUUUUGCUCUCUUUUUUCCUUUCUUGUGUGGUGAGUGUUUAUAUCAAUGAAUGAGAGAGAUGAUGGAGAGGAAGUGACUAAGAGGGAGACCCCUCUCUGCAU
rnacentral:lncRNA from 1 species